rnacentral:rRNA from 1 species
GACGAACGCUGGCGGCGUGCUUAACACAUGCAAGUCGAACGGAAAGGCCCUGCUUUUGUGGGGUGCUCGAGUGGCGAACGGGUGAGUAACACGUGAGUAACCUGCCCUUGACUUUGGGAUAACUUAAGGAAACUGGGGCUAAUACCGGAUAGGAGCUCCUGCUGCAUGGUGGGGGUUGGAAAGUUUCGGCGGUUGGGGAUGGACUCGCGGCUUAUCAGCUUGUUGGUGGGGUAGUGGCUUACCAAGGCUUUGACGGGUAGCCGGCCUGAGAGGGUGACCGGCCACAUUGGGACUGAGAUACGGCGCAGACUCCUACGGGAGGCAGCAGUGGGGAAUAUUGCACAAUGGGCGGAAGCCUGAUGCAGCAACGCCGCGUGCGGGAUGACGGCCUUCGGGUUGUAAACCGCUUUCGCCUGUGACGAAGCGUGAGUGACGGUAAUGGGUAAAGAAGCACCGGCUAACUACGUG